AUUGAACGCUGGCGGCAUGCUUUACACAUGCCAGUCGAACGGCAGCGCGGGCUUCGGCCUGGCGGCGAGUGGCGAACGGGUGAGUAAUACAUCGGAACGUGCCCAGUAGUGGGGGAUAGCUCGGCGAAAGCCGGAUUAAUACCGCAUACGACCUGAGGGUGAAAGCGGGGGAUCUUCGGACCUCGCGCUAUUGGAGCGGCCGAUGGCAGAUUAGCUAGUUGGUGGGGUAAAGGCCUACCAAGGCGACGAUCUGUAGCUGGUCUGAGAGGACGACCAGCCACCCUGGGACUGAGACACGGCCCAGACUCCUACGGGAGGCAGCAGUGGGGAAUUUUGGACAAUGGGCGAAAGCCUGAUCCAGCAAUGCCGCGUGUGUGAUGAAGGCCUUCGGGUUGUAAAGCACUUUUGGCGGGAACGAAAAGGACUGUGCCAAUACCACGGUUCGAUGACGGUACCCGCAGAAUAAGCACCGGCUAACUACGUGC
rnacentral:rRNA from 1 species